CAAGGUACAUCAUCCUCUUCACUAACUGUUUGGGACCAGAUGUGAAAGUGAAAGAGAAGUAAAACAAGCCUGCGUCCUCUAAGUUGAGGUGAAAGAGAAAGCAGGAAGCGUCAGACUUGGAGCCCUGCAGAGAACAGGCCUCUGCGUUUCUUGCCCCUGUUGGUCCCACUCCUUUAACCAUCGACCACCCAAGUCCCGGGACUGCCCUGGCCAUCCGAGGAUGCUGCAAACAGAGCUAGAACCCCGAGGGGGCUUCUCCUUCGAGAACUGCCAGAGAAACGCAGCCUUGGAACGCGCCCUCCCGGAACUCCGGGUCCCUCACGCCCGCAAGACCGGGACCACCAUCGCGGGCCUUGUGUUCCGAGACGGGGUCAUCCUGGGCGCGGACACCCGGGCCACUAACGAUUCGGUCGUGGCGGACAAGAACUGCGAGAAGAUCCACUACAUCGCGCCCAAAAUCUACUGCUGCGGGGCCGGAGUAGCCGCGGACGCCGAGAUGACCACGCGGAUGGCGGCGUCCAACAUGGAGCUACACGCGCUGUCCACGGGCCGCGAGCCCCGCGUGGCCACAGUCACCCGCGUCCUGCGUCAGACGCUCUUCCGGUACCGGGGCCACGUCGGUGCUUCGCUGGUCGUGGGCGGCGUGGACGUGACAGGACCACAGCUCUACAGCGUGCACCCCCACGGCUCCUACAGCCGCCUGCCUUUCACGGCGCUGGGCUCCGGCCAGGACGCGGCCCUGGCGGUGCUGGAGGACCGGUUCCAGCCGAACAUGACGGGCUGUAGCCUGAGGGUGACACCAGAAGAGUCCAUCAGACUUCACACACACACAUAUCCCCACAGCUGGAGGCUGCGCAGGGGCUGCUGGUGGAAGCCAUCACUGCAGGAAUCCUGGGUGACCUGGGCUCUGGGGGCAGCGUUGAUGCAUGUGUGAUCACGGAGACCGGCGCCAAGAUGCUGCGAACACUGAGCUCACCCACAAAGCCCAUGGAGAGGCCCACCCAGUACCGCUUUGCCCCUGGGACCACAGCUGUCCUGUCCGAGACAGUGAAGCCACUGCCCCUACAGCUGGUGGAAGAAACCGUGCAGACCAUGGAAGUGGAGUGAAGUCAGCGGAAGCUUAGAGCUUGGAACAGCAGAGAAUAAACGCGGAAAAUGCAGACACCUGAA